rnacentral:lncRNA from 1 species
AAAAGAAGUCUCUUUUAUUUCACCCUUUUUUAGGGAGAGGUAAGUAGGGGAAAUUAGUGUUCGCUAGGAUCCUCUCUGAUGUCAGGCUUCCGCUCCCCCCACCCUGGCCUACUCUUGAGACAAAAGAGAGAAGAGCUGGGUCUUAGGACAAUGAAAACAAAGACUCAGGGCUGAGGCCUUUGUCCAUCUGGAACAGACCGAGGUUGGGUGUGAGUAGAGCGCAUCCCCGGGGAAGCCAGGAGUCCUUCCGGGUGAGGCAGCUUUAGGCCUCCCGUCUGCCCGCUCUCGGCCGCCUUCACGGGGCCCUUUUGGUCCAGGGGCUUCUCUUUAACAACAUUUGAGGAUUUUUGUUUUCGUUUCUUGGCUUCCUCUAAAAAAGAUAACAGAAGGAUGAGCUGAGAACUGAAUCCAUAGAACAGAAUCACACACAUGCACACACACAGUCAGGAAUUAAUUCUAUUCUCACAAAUAUACAUACAAAGAUUAAGCACUGGGGUUCCAAUUUAGUGGUGAUUUUUCCCAAGACCAUUAUAAAGUAAAAGACAAAGAAAGAGGAAAUAAAUAAGGCAAAAGGAAAAUGUCCUUGGCCAGAUCGGGUCCAGUUGCUGGUAUUCUUGAGAUUUUCAGUUCUCUUUUGCUUGUGAACCCUCUUGCCCCUAAUUCCUGUCUCCAUGGUUGGCAUCAGAAGGGUCACUGCCUGGUCUUUCAUUCCCUUUGAUGAACUCUGUCUCUGUCUCCAUUUCGUAAAAUGUGCUUUUUUUAAAAAAAAAAAAAAAAAAAGAUUUUAUUUAUUUAUUUGAGAAAGAGAGCAUGAGUGGAAGCAGAGAGAGAGGGACAAGCAGACUCUGCUGAGCAGGGGGCCCAACGUGGGACUCGAUCCCAGGACCCCAAGGUCAUCACCUGAGCCAAAGGCAGACGCUCAACCACUGAGCCAUCAAGACACCCUUAAAAUGUUGGGCUUUAAGCAGCUGCGUGCACAGUGUUGGCUCCUGCACAGAGCCAGGCAAUGGUCCAAAUUAGGACGGCAUGCUCUCUGCCAGCCUACCCUGGGCUCCGCACCUCUCCUCUCUGCCACGCCGCAGACGGAGGGUUUACUGGCUCUUUGUAUUCCACUGAAACAGAACUAUCUCCAGGCUGAGUGCUCCCAGAAAAAUCUACCACCACAGUGGAAAAGCCACUCCUGUUAGUUAUUUUGUCACACAACUAUCCUCUGCUGGAAUGGGCUGAGGUUUCUCCCUUCAUUUUUUUCCUGACCAUUGUUAAGGAUGGGCCACUUGAGUAGCCAUAUCAGUUUCCUAAGGCUGCCACAGCAAAGAAUCAUCAAGUGGGUGCAUAUCUACUUAAUCAACAGAAACUUACCUUGCAGCUCUGAAGGCCCGGAGUCCAACGUCAUGGUGUGGUCAAGGCUGUGCUCCGUCUGGCGGCUCUAGGGAAGGGUCUGUUCCAGGCCUCUCUCCCAGCUUCUGGUAGCCUCAAGCAUUCCUGGGCUUGUAGAGGCAUCAGCACCCCAAUCCUCUGUCCCCUCACCUGUGUCAUCCUCUUCCCACUGCGUGUCUGUCUCUGGGCCCCCCCUUUUUUUUUCUAGGCCCCCUUUUAUCAGGACAUCAGCCAAUGGUCUCAUUUUCACUUGAUCAAAUAUCUAAAGACCCUCUUUUCAAAUGAGGUCGCGUUCUGACGUUUGGGGGUUAGCACAUCAGCAUAUCUAUUUUGGGGGGACACAAGUCAGCCAGCCCCAGGAGGGAGACAGCCUUGCCGUUUAAAUACUUUCCCAACUCAACAAAGGAAAACUACUCUCUUUUGUCUGCUGUGCCAGCACUUGGGCUGUUCUGACACGAGAGUCAUCAGAAGAUUCCAAAAAUGGUAAGCAAGAGCUGCGUGGUAGGUUAAAUCAUCACUGUGGCUCUAGAAAUCUCUGCUUGGCCACUUCCCCUCGUGUGGGCUUCCUGGGUCCCCUCUCCUAGUGGUGAUCGGAAAGAAGUGGUGAUCGGAUGUGUACUUUCACCGAAGGUUCUUUCCCGAACUCCCAGUGCUUGGACACCUCUGAGCACUUGUCCUAGCUGCUACAGCAGCUCACACAGGAGGAAUGGGGAGGAGGCUGGCGAGUGUGUCAACACAAGUACUGCUGGUGGCACAGGAGCAAGUCACAUCCUCGUGGCACUGCUCCCAUGUAAGACUGCAACUGACAUUUAAGUGUUCUGAAAUAAAAAAUAAUUGAAAAGAUAAAUCGUCGGGAUCGGAUCGUCACUGCAUGUUCUUCACAAGUUCAGAGCACACUUGUGUUCACGGACAUCCUGGGUUCUCCUAAUUUUCUAGGCAGUGUUCGCACCAAAUGCACGAUACCAAUCUUAUCCUCCAGGGCUCACACAAUGACGCAGUUAAUCGCCUUUUAUUUCCAUAGCACCCCUCCUGCCUCACCAGCCUCCCCAAGUUAGGGCAACAGGGAGGAUGAGUAGGCGAGAAAGAGGACGGGGUGCAAACUGGAGGGGCUCACGGGGGCUCGGGUCCCCAGCCUGUGCUGCAGCCUGGUGGUAUGAGAAUGAGACAUGCUGGCUUCAUGUACAGGUUGGGCUAGUUUUCAGCAUCUCGUUUGAACGUUCUGUUUUGAUUUUUAUUUUCCAGUUUUUCUAGUUGGGUAAGCCUUGGGUAGAUAAGUGGGAUCAGAGGAGAAAUCCCACUCGGACUACAAAGGCUUCCCCUGCAGAUGGGAUUUAAAAGGGAAGUAAGUGAGAGUGAGCUUGGAUGAGCCAGGUGAGGGACGAGCCAAAGCCAUGUUUUUGCACAGGGCAGACAGGAGCACUUCACGCAAAAGGGAGUGGGAGGACUAGAUUUCCCUUUUUUUUUUUUUUUAACUUUUUCCCCUCACUUGGAAAAAUUUAUGUUUUUCUUUCUGAUAAUUCACUAGCAACUGUACAAAAGUCAACAGUACAGAGAAAAUGAAGGUUUCUAUAAUGUCAUAAUGUCAGUACUUUUCUACUCUGGCUAUGAGGCAACCACAUUGAUCAGAGUUCAAGUUAUUUUUAUCCAGACUUCUUAAUACAACACUAUGUAGGUCUACAGCUUUCUCCAGAUAAAUAGGAUCAUUAACAGGGUCAUAACAUUCUGAUUUGUCUAUACUUUCCCAUGUCAAGUCAUGAAGAGGUAACCUAUUUAUUUAUUUUUAAUGAAGAGUUUAUUUAUUUAUUCACAAGAGACAGAGAGAGAGAGAUGCAGAGACACAGGCAGAGGGAGAAGCAGGCUCCAUGCAGGGAGCCCAACGUGGGACUCAGUCCUGGGUCUCCAGGAUCACGCCCUGGGCCAAAGGCAGGCUUUAAACCGCUGAGCCAACCAGGAAUCCCGAAGAGAUAACCUAUUAAAAAAAAAAAAAAAAAAA